rnacentral:lncRNA from 1 species
AGAAUGACUUUUCUGCCUCUCCCUAGCAAAAGAAGACCUCUACCCUGUACCAAUCCAGAACCCUGGGUACCAGUUGGUUUGCAGUCCCUCUGUAUUAGUAGAUGUUUUUGCAUAAUAUCAGUGCACUGUAGAGGUAGAUUUCCGUCAAUGAUAGCAGACCUAUGCCUAAAAUCAAGGUAGAGACUGGGAAAGAGGCAGGAUCUGUACACCUGUGCUACCAAAUGGGUUCAUGAUUUUUGUG